CUGUGACACUAAGUUAUAUUUUAGGCCAUUUAAGCUAAAUCUGAUGCAAGACAUACAUGGAUGCCUGAACUCUAGGAGUGAGCAGAGGGAGGCAGUUUUUGGAAACCCUAAGUCCGGCCCUCAGAGUCCUGCGCUCAGCAAUUCUGCAUCUCUGCACGAUGCCUCCUCCCCACCUACUCACCCCUGCAAGUGAAGCGAAAAGUAACUGGAGCAGAGCACAAGGCAGCAGAAGCUACCAACUUCCUGUCACCUGCUGUCCAUCUGAGACCCAGGCCCGGGCUGCCCCGCUCCCCGUCCAGGACUGGAGAACCAGACACAGAGAACUGAGCUCAGCAGCGAACGCCCUAACCAGCCCUUGUGCCUCACAGCCUCAGAGACUCAGGUAAGGAAUCUGCGGGCUGUGUUCCCACGGCUGAAGGAGGUGGUGGGCUGGGGGGAGUAGCUGCAGGGACUGAGAGUGCUUUGGUCUGGGGCUCGCCUGUCAGGGCUUCCAGCGGCGUCACAGUCUGAGCUGGGCCGUUUCAAGGCUCGCUACCCACCCACUGCCUUAACCACUUGUCCUCUCAAGUCAUACCCUGGACAGCACCUGUGAGCCACUCUAAGGUAGUGGAGUCCAGCGGUGCGCAGAUUAAAGCGCACUUUUCAACCGGCGGGGUUCCAGCUGGAGCUCCCCCACGGACGAGCCACACAACAGCUUUGGUCCUCACCCAUUAAACAGGGCAGUGGGAAACCCCUCAUGAGGAUGAGACAAGCUAAACUCCAGAGGCCGUAAGACUGCCUGACACCAAAUGAGAACUCAAUCGUGGCCAUAGGAAAACAACUCCAAUCCCUCUCCUGUAAAUGCUAGAAAUGCACCUAGGUGAUGUUGAGCCUCGCAGGCUAACACUUUCUAGAGGGGAUUGGUGGACAUCAGACUGACCACAGAAUCCUGCUUCAGACCUGUCACCUAAGAAGCCAGUGGCGGAGAGAGAGUGGGCACCUGGGAUAGGAGGACACUGUGAGGACAGCAGCAGGGUGAGUCUUCCCUGUGUCACCAUAGCUUCCUGAAACCAGAGAGAGGUAGAGAGACAGGCAGAGGCAGAGAGAGACUGCUUCUCUGAUUCCCUUAAAAUGACUCGAUCUCAGCACCGCCGGUCAGGUGAGAUGAAACUGCUACCUUCGGAGUUGGCACCCUGUGCUGCAUGUUUACAAACCUGCCCAGAGGAAGGCUCUGAGUUCGAUGUUCCGCGCAGCACUCACUGAGCUCAUGGUAGCAGGAAGCAGGCUCCCUGUGGAACCUGUAGGACACACAGUUCCCUUCGGGAAUGUCCAUCCGUCAGAGAAAGUCCUUGGUGAAAAGCAACAGAUGGGAGCAUGGCGGGGCUGAAAGAGGAGCCCCUGCCAUGGGGCGAGGAAGGCAAACAGCAGCCCGGGGCACGUGACAGGGAGCAGACAGUAAGUGAAGAGCCUGAGUGAAGGAGCAGGCUCGGAGAGAAGGCGGAAGACACGGCCACCGGUGGCUUGUGGGGGAUGUGAGCUUUGGGAGUGCCCUGGGUUGGGGUGUCCUCAGGAGGGAGGACAAGGCCGAGCUUCCCCGGCAGCAGUCACAGGUUAGCAGGAGAGUUCCAGCACAGGGCAGGAAGGACUUGGGAUUUAGGGAGCUUGGUCUAGCAGCCUGCGCAGAAUGGAUAAGAAAGUGAUUGAAGGCAAAAUAAAAAGCUAUUUGCACUAGUCCAGGAAAGGAAACAAGAAUAGAACUUCUGAGCUGACCCUGGGUAUAGAAGAAAGACCCGUGUACAAGAUGUGUGGCAGAGCUAGGGAUCACGUGACCUGGAUUGACUGACCGUGGAGACGGGGUUGGAGGGAAAUCUGGCUCCCACUUCUUCAGCCCGGGAAAUACAGCAAUCUGAGGCCCAGGGCCUAAGAAGCCCACUGCAUUUGCCCCGGUCUUUGAGCAGAGCUUUUAUGGCCGAAUGACGCUGGCAGAACAUAGUUGCAGAGCCCUGAGGAAUGGGUGGGUGGUGAGGAA
rnacentral:lncRNA from 1 species